AUUUUAUACCAGCUUAGUUAGAAAAAGUCAUCAAAGAAGAUCUUUUGAUGAUGUGCAACUAAAUUUUGAAGGUACCAGCAAACUUUUCACACUCAGCCCAAAGACAACAACAUGUAGGCCUACGCUUUCGCACCUCUUACAUGUGCAUAAUUUCCGCAUCAUGCAGAAGCUGACAUAAACCAAGCAGGUCUGUUGUCAGAGAUUUACAAGAUCAUUCAACCUCAAACCUUUUUUAGAAAUUAGGUUGCUUUAUUAAUUUUUUGACAAAAGAAAUCUUUGAAAACUUCUGUGUUUCUGCCUCCUUAUUCUUCUGAAUCCAAUUGUGCAGAUCUUUCCCUGGAGAUCUGCAUGCACACAAACUUGCCAUCCUAAAAUCAACAGCACACUGUGAGGUUUUUAUUCAAGCAGCAUACUGUAUGCUUCCUACAGAGGGUUAACGCUCCCGCUGAACCGGAUGUGAUUCCUCUCUGUUUCACUGUUGUCAUUGCACGGCCAAUGGCGGACGCUACCUGAGCAUUUAUCUGAAAAACGUAGGUUGCGCACAAAUAUACUUUGAAUAUCGAUCGGUUUUGUGUUUUGUCCCGUCAGCAUGGAUGUGAAUCUGACCAUCUCUCUGAUGCGGGGCCAGAUGGGCGCUGUUAUUGAGAAAGCCGUGAACGUCGCGGUGGAGACCGUGCUAGGAGAGAUGAUCCGGGUGGUCGGGCUCAAAUUUGAGGAGAUCAAACGGGAGAUGACAGCUAAAGAGAAGGAGAAUGAGAACAUCAGGAGGAUGCUGGAGACGUCCCGCUGUCAGAUGAAAACCAUGCGCAAGUACAUCAGCGUCCUGUCUGCUGAAGAGCCCAGCCGUAGACUGUAUCAGGGAGAUGGAGACAGGGCAACAACAUCCACAGGGAUGCACUGCAGAAGAGGGCCGAUGAGCAACCCCCCAAACCCCUGUCCCAGACCCAGAGUCUCUGAGCCAGCCCCUGUAACGUUAGCUGGACCCUCAUGGGUGAGACAGCAGAUGCACAUGUCCAAAGAAACAUUAAGAAGUGAGAAUCACAUUCCUGAGGUCGACAUUGAAGAGACCCAUGGGUCAACAAUUCAUAAAGAUGACGACUCCCAGCUGUCAGUGGCAGGGGUCCAAAAGCAGGUGCGUCCGAGACGUAAGGACCUUAAUCUGUAUGAAGAAUACAAACUCAGCCGGACUCUGAGAGGCCGCAACACGAACCGAGGCCGUAGUACAAAUCGACGGCGUGAGCUGGAGCAGACUCUACCGCAGGCUCUACUUGCAGACUUGGUAAGGGAACGAAGGGAAAAGACUCGUCUUCGAGUGGCCCGCUGGCGUGCCAAACGCAAAUUACAAGCCUGUCUGAUGGCCUCGCAGGCUGCGCAGUUUAGCGGCGCUCCUGUGCAGAGUUCACCUGCCCAGCGUGGAGGCCUGAUCUCCACCCGCAGGCGAGGCGGAGCGAUGGCGCAGCGCGGUGGGCUUGGAUUGAGAAGGGGACUGUCAGAGACUGGCACUUAUAAUGUGCUGCUGCAGCUGGGGCCCAGUCCUACUCAAUCAGCUUCAACGCGGGGCAUGAAUGAGGGUCUGAUGCCGUCUGGACCCCCAGCGCUAUCACAGCACAGAACCACUGCACCGAGAUCAACUUAUCAAUGA
ensembl:lncRNA